rnacentral:lncRNA from 1 species
CUGAAGAGCAUCUACCAAUGUUGAUAUGUAAAAUAGAAAACCAAGGAAUAUCAGAAACCACCAUUGUAACAGUCUCAGGAAAUGUAAGUCACAAAAUAACAAUGAACUAUUUAAUUAGUUAUUCUGGUCCAAGUUAUAAUAAGGUUCAACAGCCAAACACAAGCUAACAUGAGAUCACAUAGAGACAUUAGAUUCCAAAUCAAAGAAUUUCAAGGUCCAGGGGGUGUAAAUCCACCCCAGACACACCUAGGAGAAAGGCAUUAAUAUUAAUGGUGAUGCACCAAUAGGCUGUGGGAAAGAGAAAAGCAGAGGAUUUUGAAGGAAUUUUGCAUAUGGAAAAAUGUAGGAGGUUAUUUUCUUCUUUUUUAUGAAAAGAAUUGUCAAGCAUCCAACCUAAAACCAAUUGGUAGUAGGUGGAGGGACCCAACUUUAAUACAAGACCACAGGUAGCCUAAUACUUGAUGGAUGUGGAAUCUUACUGCUACACACUUCCCCUAACGUGUAGCUUAUAGGGCCUAAGGAGCUAUGGUUCGAGGGUCAUCAUGAUGCAAUGAGCUAUGGUUCGAGGGUCAUCAUGAUGCAAUCAUGAGUAAUUGUUCAAUUUCAAGGAAUUUGUUGAUGUGGAUUAAGUUCAUGAGAUUUUCGACCUACAAGAGGAGUUUGCUGUAAUGAAGUGUCAGUUGCAAGCAUGGUGAUCAAAACUAGACCAGACCGAAUGGUUGAAUCAUGAACUAGUAGUCCAACCAGUACCAUAAAACCAACAAGGGUUCAACUGGUAAAAACCAAUCAAACCGGUUAAAAAACAAAUUGAACUAGAUUGAAGUAGUUUAAAUAUUUAAUUUUGAGGUUAUAAUUUAUAAAAUGGAAGUUUAUGUUUCCUCAUUAUCUAUUGUGUUUAUUAAUUUUUUUUUCCUAUUUUUAUUUUUUAUAAAUUUUCUAGAAUAUUUUGAAAUUUUUUAUUUUGUCAUGGUUGAACUGGGAAUAGAUGGUCAAGCCGGUUUGACCACCAGUCCGAUUACUACAACAUUGAUUGCAAGUGGAGUAAUUUUCAAUCGAUCCAAUAGUGAUCUAACAAAUUAUCUAGAUCUAGGUGAGAAUGGAUGCUUAACAAGAACUAUCAUGAUUCCUAGGCAGGGUUGUAUCAAGAUAUUUUGCAUCAUCCACUUCUAUUUGCAAGUACCAAUUGUCAUUGUCAAGUACAAAACACUUACCAAGAGCUCAUCAGCUAGCUCUGAUGACGAUGAAAAGAGCAGACCAUUUUUCUCAACCUUCACAGGCUCGUCAAUACUUCAGAAGUCAAACCAGUAGCAGAUAGUAAUAGACUUUAGCAUUAAAAGGUAUCGAAUUAUUAGCCAAUAAACCAUGAAUGAUAAGUGCACAAGUUUACGAAGAGUAGGAAACAGCGCAUACUGGAAGUCCACAACCAAACAUAUCCACCACCUACUAGCCAAUACAAGUUCAGGGAGUGAUAAAGGUUUAUCGCUGC